GAGCAGGCGUCACAGCCUUUGGCUCCAGGCCAGCAGCAGGGCAGAUGGCUGCGUCACCUGGUGGUCACCACACGGUGUGAUAGGCACCCUGAUGGGGACCCUGAGGCUACUGGGGUCCCUGCCUGCAUGGUCCGGGGCGCACACCCCACCACGGAUGUCCCACCCAUGGCCCCCUUGCCCUACCACCGGCGAGGCCCUUCACCUGGGGCAGGGCCUGUGGCUCCCCCUUGGUCUCCCUUAGAGCCAAGCUCUUGCCAGCACCUUUUGGGACAGGCCCAGUCCUGGUACCGCCCAGGAACCCACUGACUGGACAGGCUUUGAUUGUCCGACUUCCCACCAAUGGGGACCAGGAAUUGGGCUCCUCCCGGGUGCCCCAGACUGGGUGAAGCAGAGGGUGAGCCAAACCGGCAUGGCCCGGGGCUGCCAGGCAUGAGCGUUGACCAGUUCUGGCCCAGGCUGGGUGCCAGAGGACGUUCCCUAGGACCUGUGGGGUGUGGACCCCCAUCCAGCCACGGGGCCUGGCUCUCCUGCGUCUUCUCACUGGAUCCUCCAGGCAGCCCCCAGUGGCACGGUGACAUGGGACUGUGUGACCCCAUGUCAGAGCUAUGGAAGCCGAGGCCUGAGAGCAGCCACAGCCAGCCACCCCAGUGGGGCUGGAGGACCCGGUCCAUCAACGUGAACCAUUACACCAACAAGAAGAGCGCGGCUGAGAGCAUGCUGGACAUCGCACUGCUGAUGGCCAACGCCUCCCAGCUCAAGGCCGUCAUCGAUCAGGGCUCCAGCUUCGCCUUCUUCGUCCCCCUUGUCGUCCUCAUCUCCAUCUCCCUCGUGCUCCAGAUCGGUGUGGGCGUCCUGCUCAUCUUCCUGGUCAAGUAUGACCUUAACAACCCAGCCAAGCACGCCAAACUGGACUUCCUCAACAACCUCGCCACAGGCCUCGUCUUCAUCAUCGUGGUGGUCAACAUCUUCAUCACAGCCUUUGGCGUCCAGAAGUCUGUGCCUAUCACAGCAUCCCAGCAGUAGGGUAGACCAGGUGCGCCACAACUUAACUAAUAACAGUGUCUUCAAGAGGUCCUGUCUACACUGGAUUCCCACCCACAGGGAGGCGGAUUAAGAAGAAGAACGUGCUUUUCCUGGGGCAUGUAAUUCAGCCACUACAGUGGGCCAUGAUGACUUGAAUCUCCCAGACCCACCUGCCCGUGGCCUGGUCACACACAGACACCCGGAGCUGCUGCAUUUCGGGGACCUCCUGAGCCUGCCCAGGGCCCAGUUGGCCUGACAUGGACUGAACUCAGGCCGAGCUGCCCACCCUCGCCUGCAGCCCAAGGAGGACCUGCCUCCUGGCUUGGCUGCACUUCCCAGGAGACACCUGGUGGCCUCCUGGGCACCUUGGGGCUGGUGGCGAGGCCCAGAAGGUCAGAACUGGAGAGCCCCCAAGAGGUGGGCCCCCACUUUCCAGCUGGGCCAGCGAGGCUCAUAGAGGGCCAUGACCCACCCAGAGAUACACAGCAAGUCCAUGGACAUACCAGUGCAAGUGCCCAGGGCCGGGCCACCUCCUGGGUGUCAGGUCCUCUGACUCAGGACAUUCCCAGAGGGACAAGGAGAUGCCACCUCUCCCUCUGCCAAUGCCACCAGCUUCCCAGGCCUCCACGGGGCCUGCCCAAGUCUCCCCAGCUGAUUUGAUGCCUUUCUCCUGCGUCCUGUCCAGGGGACACGUGACACUCCAGACCUCCCCUCCAGCACCAGUCUUGGUGGCUGGGGUCGGGCCACAGUGCCUUGGCUGUGGUGGCCCCCCGGGAGGGAGCCGGGGGGCCAGUAUGAGUGGGCCCUAUGGCCAGACCCCUGGCUGCCCUCCACCAGCAGGGACAGGGCCAAGCCCUGAGCCCCACCCUCCUCGGGGGUUCCAAGCCCCAGCUUGUUUCCUAAGCACGAAAUGACCAAUAAAGCUCACCAUCCUCUUCAUCUA